CAGAAAGACACAGCCUGCAGAUACCUUGAUUUUAAUCCGGUGAGACGCACAGUGGACUUCUGACCUACAAAACUGAAUAAGAAUUGGACCUACCUCAAGAUCUGUUGAGAAGAUUAUGAGAGAGCUGAUGGAUCUAAAAGAUUGGUGCUUGGUAAUGACUGUCAAUUCUUUCUAUUACUUCUGUGUGUAAUCCAUCACCUAUCCUUGUUCAACACUUGUGAAAAUUGCAACCCCUUUCUGUACUGAGUAACAUGGAAACCUGUGUCUGCUCCUACAGCCCCCUGUUACAGCCUCCCUCUACCUGUUAUGAAUUGAUGUCUUCACCAGGUCAAAUAGGAAUGAGCCACAGAUGGCCAUACUUUGGGACACCUGCCAUCAGGUGGAACUUCUCAUCUGCCAGGCAACCACUCAGGGUACUCUCAGAAGUUCAUAGUGACUUGGAGUCCAGGAGAAUAAUGUCCAAUUCCAAAGCUGCUGCUGUUUUCAGGAAUAUCAGUGACUUCAUUCAUUAGUAUUGUCUCAAGGCCUUGAGCUACUGAUGGACACUUGGAUGGAGCAAGGUCAUAGGUGUGAACACCACAAACUACACAGUGAGGGGGGCUCUGCCAUACACUUGUUUGCAAUUUGUUAAGGGUGAGUAAGGUGACUCAGAAUGCAAAUCUACCAUUCACACAGAAAAGGAGGCAUUGCCUCCUGUAAGAAGGCUGGCAUUGUUUAAUGCAGUAGGAUUAAUCUGCAUUGAUUAAAACUGCCCAGCUGCUCAUGUCUUCAA